AAUCAACGCUGGCGGCGUGCCUAACACAUGCAAGUCGAGCGGGCACUUCGGUGUCAGCGGCAGACGGGUGAGUAACGCGUGGGAACGCGCCCUUCGGUUCGGAAUAACUCAGGGAAACUUGAGCUAAUACCGGAUACGCCCUUUUGGGGAACGGCUUGACUGCCGAAGGAUCGGCCCGCGUCUGAUUAGCUAGUUGGUGAGGUUACGGCUCACCAAGGCGACGAUCAGUAGCUGGUCUGAGAGGAUGAUCAGCCACACUGGGACUGAGACACGGCCCAGACUGCGACGGAAGGCAGCAGUGGGGAAUAUUGGACAAUGCGGGCAAGCCUCAGCAAGCCAGGCCGCGUGAGUGAUGACGGCCUUAGGGUUGUAAAGCUCUUUUCUCCGGGACUAUAAUGACGGUACCGGAGGAAUAAGCCCCGGCUAAGUUCGUGCCAGCAGCCGCAGUAA
rnacentral:rRNA from 1 species